rnacentral:rRNA from 1 species
AUUGAACGCUGGCGGCAGGCUUAACACAUGCAAGUCGAACGAGUGGCGGACGGGUGAGUAAUGUCUGGGAAACUGCCUGAUGGAGGGGGAUAACUACUGGAAACGGUAGCUAAUACCGCAUACCAUCAGAUGUGCCCAGAUGGGCUUAGCUAGUUGGUGGGGUAACGGCUCACCAAGGCGACGAUCCCUAGCUGGUCUGAGAGGAUGACCAGCCGCACUGGAGCUGAGACGCGGUCCAGACUCCUACGGUAGGCAGCAGUGGGGAAUAUUGCGCAGUGGGCGGAAGCCUGAUGCAGCCAUGCCGCGUGUAUGAAGAAGGCCCUCGGGUUGUAAAGUACUUUCAGCGGGGAGGCGGUACCCGCAGAAGAAGCACCGGCUAACUCCGUGCCAGCAGCCGCGGUAAUAC